rnacentral:rRNA from 1 species
UAGGGAAUCUUCGGCAAUGGGGGGAACCCUGACCGAGCAACGCCGCGUGAGUGAAGAAGGUUUUCGGAUCGUAAAGCUCUGUUGUUAAGGAAGAACGAGUGUGAGAAUGGAAAGUUCAUGCUGUGACGGUACUUAACCAGAAAGGGACGGCUAACUACGUGCCAGCAGCCGCGGUAAUACGUAGGUCCCGAGCGUUGUCCGGAUUUAUUGGGCGUAAAGCGAGCGCAGGCGGUCAAUUAAGUCUGAUGUGAAAGCCCCCGGCUCAACCGGGGAGGGUCAUUGGAAACUGGUUGACUUGAGUGCAGAAGAGGAGAGUGGAAUUCCCUGUGUAGCGGUGAAAUGCGUAGAUAUAUGGAGGAACACCAGUGGCGAAGGCGACUCUCUGGUCUGUAACUGACGCUGAGGCUCGAAAGCGUGGGGAGCAAACAGG